rnacentral:lncRNA from 1 species
GGAAGGACCACGGGCGCAUCUCAGAAGCAUUGUCCUGAACCAAGAAAGCUAGACUCAAGGCUAUGUCCUGCAUGAUCCCACUCACAGGACCUUGUAGGAGAAGCAGAUCUAUAGGCAUGAAAAUCCCAUCGGCGAGUGCCAGGAGCUGAGGUGGACAGGGGUGAUCAUCAAGUGGCCACGUUCCUUGCUAGGGCCACCAUAACAGAGUGCCACCAACCGGGUGGCUUAAAUGACAGAAAUUAACUGUCUCACGGGUCUGGAGACCAGAAGUCUGCAGUCAAGGUGCUGGCCGGGCUGUCCUCCCGAGGGCUGAGAGGGGAGGACUGCGCCAGGCCUCUCUCUUUGGCUUGCAUUUGGCUGUCUUCGUGUCUACACGGCCCUCUCUGGCUGUGUGUGUGUCUCCAGGUUUCUCCUUUUUGUAAGGACCAGUCAUGUUGGAUUAGAACCCACUCUGAAGACCUCAUUUGAACUUGAUUACUUCUGUAAAGACCCGAUUUCCACUUAAGAUCACAGUCUGAAGGCACCGGGGCUUAGGAGCUCAUCAUAUGAAUUUUGCAGGGAUGCAAUUCAACCCAUGACAGGGGCACAAGGGAACUUUGGGGGGCUGUGGAACUGUUGCGUGUUUUAAUCGUUGGGGGGGGGCCUCAGGUACGUAUGCAUUAGUCUAAACGCCUAACACUGCACCCCGACAAGGGUACAUGUGACUGCAUGUAACAGAAUUUAAUUUUUAAAACUAGAAAAAAUAAAACAGAUCUACCAGGUUUUUCUUCAAAAGAUUAUUGCUCUUCCCAUCUACCAUCCCGCCCUGACUCUGCUGUGUUCCAGGCAUCUGUGGUGGUGAGGAGUUAUCUUUUUUUUUUUUAAGAUUUUAUUUAUUUUAUUCAUGAGAGACACAGAGAGAGAGGCAGAAACAUGGGCAGAGGGAGAAGCAGGCUCCAUGCAGGGAGCCAGAUGUGGAACUCGAACCCAGGACCCCGGGAUCACGCCCUGGGCCAAAGGCAGACGCUCAUCCACCGAUCCUCCGGGGCGCCCCAAGGAUUAUCUUUUCAGAAAAGAUUAUUUCCCUGCUGUGUGUGUUCAGCCACAUGCGGCCUUCCAGCAGAGCACGAGGAGCCCAGCAGGUGGAAUGGCCCAGUUAGCAUUGCCCAUCGGGAGUGGGAUGAGCUUUCAAGUGUCCAACACAGUCUUGGGCCCUGUCGUCAUUGCGCCACAUCAAAGACACAUCCACUUCCCCACGUUCACUGCAGCAACGUUGUCAGGAGCCCAGAUGCGGACACAGCCGAAGUGCCCAUCGCUGAACGUGAAUGGAUAAAGGAAAUGUGAUAACACGGUGGGAUGGCGUAGUGGAAUAUAACGGAAUAUUACUUGGCCACAUAAAAGAAGGAAGUCUUGUUGUUCGGGACAACGUGAUCGGAACUCGAGGGCAUCGUGCCGGGUGAGAUAAGUCAGACAGAGAAAGACAAGUGCUCUACCAUCUCCACCUGCAGAGCCUAACAAAUCCAAACUCCUAGAAACAA